GUCCGGCGGCAGGAACCCCCCGCGGGCAGUCGCCACACGCACACGGGGAGGCUUAGAGCGGCGGACGCUUCCUCUGUGCGGCGGGGCGCGGGCGGCGGGCGCCGCCAUGUUGUACGGCAGCUGGUGUUGGGGCGGCUGUGUACCUGGACAGGCGUCAGCGUGCCUUCAGCCGGGGCAGCGAGCACUGGCAAAAAUACUGAAAAGCGAGCUCUUUUCAGGAGAGUGAAAAGAGCGGCUUGUUGUCUGAGAUUAGGAGGGCUCGAGGAGCGAGCCGCAGCGGGGCAGUGGAAGCCACCCGACCCGGAGGACAGGGGAGCCCCUCGGGCAGGAGGGACCAGAGAGAACGGGAAGAACAAAGGCAGCCAGGAAAAUAAAUAGGAAUGCGUAGCCACCUCGAAGUGGCAAACUGGAAGAAAACAAAGAGGGGGAAAAUCGAGCGGGAAGGUCUGCAUCUGCCUUACACUCACGACCUGGACACAGCCUCUCCAUCCAUCCCCUAUGCUCCAAUGCACCAGACAGCUGACCAGCUGAAAUGGAGGUCACCAAGCACGAGCCAGCACUACUCUGAAGCUCCUCACACAACUUGUGCUCAGAAGAAAAGUGCAUCACAUGGAUGCUCAGGAGAGAAAACUAGAGGGGUCUGGCUGUAACUGAGUUUCUGUAGUCGGUCUAGCAUAAACCUGGAUGGCCACUUGGAAGGAUAGUCCCAGAUUUCCUGUUGUACCUGUGAUUUGACUGCUCGCUCCCUGCUCCCUUGCUCCAGAACCCACAUUUCUGUAAUGAUGGGUCAGAGAAUCCGGAGACUAAUCCGACUGUAAACGAGUUCAAGGGAAAAAGGUAACACCUGGGGACACAACAGACUUGUUUAAGGCCCAGGUGACUGAAGGAGACCUAAGAAGAUGGUUUGUCUGGGCUCCAGGAUGCAGGUCCCUCGUUGUGGGGCAGGUAAGGCAUUCUUAAGAGAACUCUCUCAAAGCUCAAGAUGAGCUCAGAAUACCAAACAAAUCUGCAAAGAUUGUUUGUAGCCAGACCCAUUUUUAAUAAACUGGCAUCCACACAAAAUUUUGAAAUAGAC
rnacentral:lncRNA from 1 species